rnacentral:lncRNA from 1 species
CCUGAUUAAACAAAUGAUCCAAUGACUAAAUGAUCCAUAGACUAAAAUGAUCCAAUGAAUUUUUUUCCCGAAGAGUUUUUACCUCUUAUCAGACUGUAUUGGGAUUUUCGGUGGAUAUGGAGAGUGUCACUGACUUACCCUCAUUUUACACGUCUUUAAAAAGACAAUAAUUAGCACAUCAUUGAAUAGUUCAAUGGCUCCUGUACAGGGAAAUUGAAGUGACCUUGAAAGGAAAAAAAAGAUUAUAUAGGCAGCAUAAAUUCACUCAGUUACUUUUUUGAGUUUAUAGCUGCUGGAUUGCCAUCAUAUUUUUUUUUUCUUUACUGAUGGAGGCUAUAAACUGUACUAUGAUUUAUUGUUAUUUUGUGAUUUUUUUUUUAAAACAGCUCACUUCAAUUUUGUGCUUUGCAUAUUCUGAGACUGGGUGUUAACAGUUGUAAAAUUCUCACAUAUGUGGAUUGAAAGGCAAUCAGAUAAUUGGUUAGUCAUUUAUUCUCAGCUUUAAUCAAGAAAUGAAUGAUUCUUAGUUUGCGAUAAAGAGGAAAUAUUAACCAUAAAAACUAUUUUUAGUAUUAAAAUUUCUUCAGAACAAAUGUUUGAUAUCGUGAGUCUAAAACUCUGAUUAUAGCACAAAGUGUAUAAAACUCUAUUUCCCACCAUUAUAACUAUUGUUUUUAUAAUGGGCUUUUCGUUAAUUUGAGGUUUCUUAGGAAUGUAACUUACAGAUUUUUGCAGAGGAGGCAAUAUACACUAAAUACUAACAUAUCCUCAUAUGAAAAAUGUGUCCUUAAUACAGACAGGAAAAAAAGAUUUUGCCACAAGAGAAAUAAAAAAAAAAAAAAAAAUAAGUAAAGGAGAGGAAGAAAGAGGAAGAGAAAGAGGGAGAGUAAAUGGAAAUAUUGCUUUAUUUUGAAAAAAAUUGGGUAUUAAUAAUGGCCAAUCAAUGUUUCAUUUAAACUUAUGGGUAGGCGUGAUGUGGUAUUGACAAGAAUGUAUAUUUUGUGUAUUUGAAGCGGGGAGCUCUAUAAAUAUUUAUUAAGUUUACUUGUUCCAGAUCUGAGUUCGAGUUCUUGAUAUCCUUAUUAAUUUUCUGUCUCAUUGAAUCUAAGUCUCGUAUCUGGGUGUUAGGAUCGUUAGCUCUUGUUGUUGCAUUGAUCCUUUUACCACUAUAUCUUUGUUGCUUUAAAAUCUAUUUUAUCCGAUACGAGAAUUGCAACUCCUGCUUUUUAUUUAUUAUUUAUUUUUGCUCUCCAUUUGGUUGGUAAAUCUUUCUCCAUCCCUUUGUUUUGAGUCUUUGUGUAUCCUUGCAUGUGAAACAGGUCUGGAUGUAACAUGCCAUUGGCUUUUGGCUGUGUCUUUUGAUUGGGGAAUUUAGUCAAUUUAAAUUUAGGGUUGCUGCCAUUUGAUGUUGACUGGCUGUUUUAUCCAUUCGUUGGUGUAAAUUCUUCUUUAUGUUGGUGCUCUUUACUUUUUGGUGUAUUUUUAGAAAGGCUAAUACUGGUUGUUUCUUUCUGUGUGUAAUGCUUCUUUCAGAAGCUCUUGUAAAGCAGGCCUGGUGGUAACAAAAUCUCUGAGUUCUUGCUUGUUCAUAAAAGAUUUUAUUUUUCCUUCAGUUGUGAAGCUUAGUUUGGCUGGAUAUGAAAUUCUAGGCUAAAGGUUCUGUUCUUUGAGGAUGUUGAAUAUUGGGCCCCACUCUCUUCUGGCUUGUAGAGUUUCUGCUGAGAGAUCUGCUGUAAGUCUGAUAAGCUUGCCUUUGUGGGUAACCUGACCUUUCUCUCUGGCUGCCCUUAGUAUUUUCUCCUUCAUUUCAACCCUGGUGAAUCUAAUGAUUAUGUGCCUUGGGGUUGCUCUUCUUGAGGAAUAUCUUUGUGGUCUCUGUAUUACCUGGGGUUGAAUGUUGACCUGCUUUGCUAGUUUAGGAAAAUUUUCCUGAAUAAUACCCUGAAGGGUAUUUUCCAGCUUGGAUUCAUUCUCUCCGUCGCAUUCAGGUACACCUAUCAAACGUAAAUUUGGUCUUUUCACAUAGUCCCACAUUUCUUGGAGACUUUGCUCAUUCCUUUUUAUCCUUUUAUCUCUAAUCUUGUCUUCUUGUUUUCUUUAAUUAAGUUGGACUUUGACCUCUGAUAUCCCUUCUUCUGCUUGAACAAUUCCAGUGUUUAAACCUGUGCAUACUUCUCGGAGUUCCUGUAUUGUAUUCUUCAGUUCCAUUAAUUCACUCAUACUCCUCCCUAAGUUGUCUAUUCUCAAUAGGAUUUCAUCAAACCUCUUUUCAAAGUUCCUAGUUUCUUUACGUUGGGCUACAACAUGUUCUUUUAACUCACCCAAGUUUGUUAUUAUCCAUUCCUUGAAGAGUGAUUCUGUCAUCAGGAUGCGCUCGUUCUCCAUCAAGCCUUGUUCCAUUGUCGAUGUGGAACUGUGAUCAUCUUUAGAGGGAGAGGCGUUCUGACCUUGAGUAUUCUCAGCUUUUUUACGCUGGUUUCUUCCCGUCAUUGUAAAUUUAUCCUCCUCUCAUCUUUGAAAUUACCAACUUUCAGAUUAGGUCUCUUGAGUGGACGUCCAGGUUGUUAGUUCCCAGGGCCAG